CCUACGGGCGGCAGCAGUGAGGAAUAUUGGUCAAUGGACGAGAGUGAACCAGCCAAGUAGCGUGAAGGAUGACUGCCCUAUGGGUUGUAAACUUCUUUUAUAAAGGAAUAAAACGAGGCACGUGUGCCUUUUUGCAUGUACUUUAUGAAUAAGGAUCGGCUAACUCCGUGCCAGUAGCCGCGGUAAUACGGAGGAUCCGAGCGUUAUCCGGAUUUAUUGGGUUUAAAGGGAGCGUAGAUGGGUUGGUAAGUCAGUUGUGAAAGUUUGCGGCUCAACCGUAAAAUUGCAAUUGAUACUGGCAGGCUUGAGUACAGUUGAGGUAAGCGGAAUUCGUGGUGUAGCGGUGAAAUGCUUAGAUAUCACGAAGAACCCCGAUUGCGAAGGCAGCUUACUAAACUGUGACUGACAUUGAUGCUCGAAAGUGUGGGUAUCAAACAGGAUUAGAUACCCCGGUAGUC
rnacentral:rRNA from 1 species